GGUGGCUCAGUGGUAGAGCACUUGUUUCGCACACAUGAGGCCCUGGGUUUGAUUCCUCAGCACCA
rnacentral:tRNA from 1 species